rnacentral:snRNA from 1 species
UUGUGAUAUCGAGCAAGGUC